GACGAACGCUGGCGGCGUGCCUAAUACAUGCAAGUAGAACGCUGAAGAGGGGAGCUUGCUCUUCUUGGAUGAGUUGCGAACGGGUGAGUAACGCGUAGGUAACCUGCCUUGUAGCGGGGGAUAACUAUUGGAAACGAUAGCUAAUACCGCAUAACAAUGGAUGACACAUGUCAUUUAUUUGAAAGGGGCAAUUGCUCCACUACAAGAUGGACCUGCGUUGUAUUAGCUAGUAGGUGAGGUAACGGCUCACCUAGGCGACGAUACAUAGCCGACCUGAGAGGGUGAUCGGCCACACUGGGACUGAGACACGGCCCAGACUCCUACGGGAGGCAGCAGUAGGGAAUCUUCGGCAAUGGGGGCAACCCUGACCGAGCAACGCCGCGUGAGUGAAGAAGGUUUUCGGAUCGUAAAGCUCUGUUGUAAGUCAAGAACGAGGGUGAGAGUGGAAAGUUCACACUGUGACGGUAGCUUACCAGAAAGAGACGGCUAACUACGUG
rnacentral:rRNA from 1 species